UUGAACGCUGGCGGCAGGCCUAACACAUGCAAGUCGAGCGGAUGAAGGGAGCUUGCUCCUGGAUUCAGCGGCGGACGGGUGAGUAAUGCCUAGGAAUCUGCCUGGUAGUGUGGGAUAACGUCCGGAAACGGGCGCUAAUACCGCAUACGUCCUGAGGGAGAAAGUGGGGGAUCUUCGGACCUCACGCUAUCAGAUGAUCCUAGGUCGGAUUAGCUAGUUGGUGGGGUAAAGGCCUACCAAGGCGACGAUCCGUAACUGGUCUGAGAGGAUGAUCAGUCACACUGGAACUGAGACCCGGUCCAGACUCCUACGGGAGGCAGCAGUGGGGAAUAUUGGACAAUGGGCGAAAGCCUGAUCCAGACAUGCCGCGGGUGUGAAGAAGGUCUUCGGGUUGUAACGCACUUUAAGUUGGGAGAAAGGGCAGUAAGUUAAUACCUUGCUGUUUUGACGUUCCCAACAGAAUAAGCACCGGCUAACUUCGU
rnacentral:rRNA from 1 species